rnacentral:tRNA from 1 species
GGGGGCGUGGUGAAGUGGUAUCAUGCGGGUCUCCAAAACCUAAGUCGUAGGUUCGAUUCCUACCGCCCCUGCCA